rnacentral:rRNA from 1 species
UACGAAGGGGGCUAGCGUUGUUCGGAAUCACUGGGCGUAAAGCGCACGCAGGCGGAUGGAUAAGCCGGGGGUGAAAGCCCGCUGCUCAACCUCGGAAUUGCGUUCGAUACUGCCGGACUCGAGGCCGGGAGAGGUGAGUGGAAUUCCUGGUGUAGAGGUGAAAUUCGUAGAUAUUAGGAAGAACACCAGUGGCGAAGGCGGGGCACUGGCCCAGUUCUGACGCUCAGGUGCGAAAGCGUGGGGAGCAAACAGG